UUUUUUUUUUUUCCAUAGUUAUCUGCCAGUAAAGUGUUGGUGAAACUUUAUAGUUUAACUUUACUAAGUUUCUGCUAUUUGAUUUUUAAAUGAUGUCAGAGGAAAGUCUUAUAUGGGAAACAGAUGUAAAAUGAUACAUUACUGGAAAAAUGUUGAUAUGAAUAAUAGUUUUUACCAGGAUAACCUAUUUAGAAAUUUUAAUAAAUUGACUGGAUCGUUUUGCUAUGUGGGUUGAAUUGAUUUGCGACAAUCUUAGUCUCAUUAUACAUAUGAUAUUCCCUUUGUUUUGGAACCCCAAUUGUGAAGGCUAUUGUGA
rnacentral:misc_RNA from 1 species